rnacentral:rRNA from 1 species
AUAGAUUAAGUUAUUAAGGGCGCACGGUGGAUGCCUUGGCACUAGAAGCCGAUGAAGGACGUUACUAACGACGAUAUGCUUUGGGUAGCUGUAAGUAAGCGUUGAUCCAGAGAUUUCCGAAUGGGGGAACCCAGCAUGAGUUAUGUCAUGUUAUCGACAUGUGAAUUCAUAGCAUGUCAGAAGGCAGACCCGGAGAACUGAAACAUCUUAGUACCCGGAGGAAGAGAAAGAAAAAUC